AACAAGAAUCCUCAACACAUGAAUUGCCCACCUGGUUCAUCUAGAUGGUGCGCAAGUGGCAGAAAGCUGUGGCCGACCGCACUAUUGACGAAUUUGACCAUGAAAAUCCUCCUCCAUUUCCACCUUCCUCGCAGUAUGUAUUUUUAAUGAAGGUUUCAUACCCAUAUUAAAAAUCUUAAGUGUCAUGGGAAUCACGAUUGGCCCAGAAGCUCGUGCGUUCGCAGUCAGGCGAGACGAAGUUCGCAUCGAGCGCUCUGAACUUCGAGCAGGAAGCCAGAACUGCUCGUCUCCAUGAAAGAACUUCGGAGAAUGAGCAGUUUGAAGUAGAGGAAGGUUUCCUGUAUGGAGCAGGAAUCGCUGAUUAAAAAUAUGUAAGUAUGCUGUACCAUUCUGUGAGUAAAAUUUGUGAAUAACUCAUAACUUUGCUCGUGAUUUUGUGAAUUUUGAGUUUUUUCGGUUAAUUUUUUAUGUAAUCUUAAAAUAUCAAUAAAAAAACGAUGAAAAAAUGGAUAGUCAUUCAUGCCUCUAGACUAGAAUACUCCCUAUAUAAAGUUGGUGUGGUUGCAUUCCACAAAGUCAACAAGUUGUGCUACCGCUUGUAUGACCGCUACGUGGUACAACGAGUGGGUGAAAACCAAGGGCCACGAACAAUCACCACGGCGGCUGAUUACAUGAAAUGGUGAUACGUUGUUGAAGUUAGCGAUGAAAGUGAAAUUAGUGAUAAUGAGGGUGAAAUGAGCACAUCUGAGAACAGAUGUGGAAUGCCGGGUAUGACCGAAUGUAGUAUCAUGAAAGAGGGGCCUGGAGGGUGUUAAGCGGAUUGUAAGCAAGCGGUUCCUGAAGUAUAAAUUAUAUACAAGCGGUUGAUGAGCAUGUGCGUACUGAGGCUAAGACAAAAGGCAAGGAGUUGCUAGGGAACGAUGAACGAAUUAACAACAGUAUGAGUUGAGAAGUCGCAGAGUGCGGAUUGCGUUGUUGAGAUAGUGUUGUUAGAGUUGUUAAGAGAGAGUCGAGAGUGUUGAUUACUGGCUGGACACUGGAGUUCGUAAACUGCCUCCCAAUUGGUUUCCGAAUAGAACUCUUUUGCUUGCUAGUACUUCGCAAAUAGCUUCAAGGACUGUUCACAAUAUAAAGUAGCAGAGAACGAUCUCUCUGACAGAUACUUUCGUUAUGAAUCUUUGUUCGCGAGUAGAAUAGAAUUUGUUCCAAAGAGAGAAUAUAAAUUUUGGUCGUGCAGGUCAUAAACCAUAAUUCCUUCCAUAUAUCCAAUGAUUGUUCGCAAACUGCUCAGCAGAGUGAGCGCGAUGAUCGAACUUUCCCUGAACACAUUUGACGAACAGCACACUUCAAUAACUAUAACUUCAGUAACAGCAACAAAACUAAAAUUAAUGCAUAAAAAUCCCUAUAUAAAAGGGGUUUAAGAGAUAUUUCAACUUUAAUUUGUUAAAUUUAUUGCGUGAUGGAUACGAAGAAUUCAAUGGUGCAAGCGGAGUACAUUUUUGACGAAGCCGAAUUCUUUUUACAUCAUUAUUUCCCAAGAUAUAAAUUAAAUGAAAUAAAUUGGAUAUAUGUAUUGAAAAGACAUUUCAUGUAUAUAUUAAAAAAUAAGACGUUUAUUUCUAAAGUAAUAAAAACUGAUUCUUCCGAAGAUAAAACACAUAA